rnacentral:rRNA from 1 species
UGACGCUGGCGGCAGGCCUAACACAUGCAAGUCGAGCGGAUGAAGGGAGCUUGCUCCUGGAUUCAGCGGCGGACGGGUGAGUAAUGCCUAGGAAUCUGCCUGGUAGUGGGGGAUAACGUCCGGAAACGGGCGCUAAUACCGCAUACGUCCUGAGGGAGAAAGUGGGGGAUCUUCGGACCUCACGCUAUCAGAUGAGCCUAGGUCGGAUUAGCUAGUUGGUGGGGUAAAGGCCUACCAAGGCGACGAUCCGUAACUGGUCUGAGAGGAUGAUCAGUCACACUGGAACUGAGACACGGUCCAGACUCCUACGGGAGGCAGCAGUGGGGAAUAUUGGACAAUGGGCGAAAGCCUGAUCCAGCCAUGCCGCGUGUGUGAAGAAGGUCUUCGGAUUGUAAAGCACUUUAAGUUGGGAGGAAGGGCAGUAAGUUAAUACCUUGCUGUUUUGACGUUACCAACAGAAUAAGCACCGGCUAACUUCGUGCCAGC